rnacentral:rRNA from 1 species
UACGUAGGGUGCGAGCGUUAAUCGGAAUUACUGGGCGUAAAGCGUGCGCAGGCGGUUCGCCGUGUCCGAUGUGAAAGCCCCGGGCUUAACCUGGGAAUGGCAUUGGAAACUGGCGGGCUGGAGUAUGGCAGAGGGGGGUGGAAUUCCACGUGUAGCAGUGAAAUGCGUAGAGAUGUGGAGGAACACCGAUGGCGAAGGCAGCCUCCUGGGCCAGCACUGACGCUCAUGCACGAAAGCGUGGGGAGCAAACAGG